CAGCAGCCGCGGUAAUGCGUAGGUGGCAAGCGUUGUCCGGAAUUAUUGGGCGUAAAGGGCUCGCAGGCGGUUUCUUAAGUCUGAUGUGAAAGCCCCCGGCUCAACCGGGGAGGGUCAUUGGAAACUGGGAAACUUGAGUGCAGAAGAGGAGAGUGGAAUUCCACGUGUAGCGGUGAAAUGCGUAGAGAUGUGGAGGAACACCAGUGGCGAAGGCGACUCUCUGGUCUGUAACUGACGCUGAGGAGCGAAAGCGUGGGGAGCGAACAGGAUUAGAUACCCCUGUAGUCCCUGUCUCUUAUAA
rnacentral:rRNA from 1 species